CAGCAGCCGCGGUAAUACGUAGGGUGCGAGCGUUAAUCGGAAUUACUGGGCGUAAAGCGUGCGCAGGCGGUUUGUUAAGACAGAUGUGAAAUCCCCGGGCUUAACCUGGGAACUGCAUUUGUGACUGGCCGGCUAGAGUAUGGCAGAGGGAGGUGGAAUUCCACGUGUAGCAGUGAAAUGCGUAGAUAUGUGGAGGAACACCGACGGCGAAGGCAGCCUCCUGGGCCAAUACUGACGCUCAUGCACGAAAGCGUGGGGAGCAAACAGGAUUAGAUACCCCCGUAGUCCCUGUCUCUUAUAC
rnacentral:rRNA from 1 species